GCCAGGCUUGGUGGCGCAUGCCUGUAGUCCCAGCUACUCGGGAGGCUGAGGCACGAGAAUUGCUUGAGCCUGGGAGGUAUAGGUUGCAGUGAGCCAAGAUCACGCCACUGCACUCCAGCCCGGGUAACAGAGCGAGACCCUGUCUCAA
ensembl:misc_RNA Metazoa_SRP Metazoan signal recognition particle RNA